UACGGAGGGUGCGAGCGUUGUCCGGAAUCAUUGGGCGUAAAGGGCGCGUAGGUGGCCCGGUCAGUUCGUGGUGAAAGCGCGGGGCUCAACCCUGCGUCGGCCAUGAAUACUGCCGCGGCUGGAGCACUGUAGAGGCAGGCGGAAUUCCGGGUGUAGCAGUGGAAUGCGUAGAGAUCCGGAAGAACACCGGUGGCGAAGGCGGCCUGCUGGGCAGUUGCUGACACUGAGGCGCGACAGCGUGGGGAGCAAACAGG
rnacentral:rRNA from 1 species